GGGGGUAUAGCUCAGUCGGGAGAGCGCUGGCUUUGCAAGCCAGAGGUCGGCGGUUCGAUUCCGCCUACCUCCACCA
rnacentral:tRNA from 1 species